CCAUGCACCCGGAUCUGACACUCCAUUGUGCCCCAGAGGGGGAGGGUGUCUCUGUGUGUUGUGAUCUGAUAAGCCCCUUCAUUUGGGCCGUUUGAAAGGAGUGAAAGGAGUCGUGGGGAGACUUUCAUCUUCAGAACAAAAAGAGAGCAGGUCGAGAGGGAGAGACAGAGAGAGAGACAGAGGGAGGGAGAGACAGAGAGAGAGACAGACAGAGGGAGAGACAGAGGGAGAGACAGAGAGAGACAGACAGAGGGAGAGACAGAGAGAGACAGACAGAGGGAGAGACAGAGAGAGACAGACAGAGGGAGAGACAGAGGGAGAGACAGACAGAGGGAGAGACAGAGAGAGACAGACAGAGGGAGAGACAGAGAGAGAGACAGAGAGAGGGAGAGACAGACAGAGGGAGAGACAGAGAGAGGGAGAGACAGACAGAGGGAGAGACAGACAGAGGGAGAGACAGAGAGAGAGAGACAGAGGGAGAGACAGAGAGAGAGACAGACAGAGGGAGAGACAGAGAGAGACAGACAGAGGGAGAGACAGAGAGAGAGACAGAGGGAGAGACAGAGGGAGGGAGAGACAGAGAGAGACAGACAGAGGGAGAGACAGAGAGAGAGACAGACAGAGGGAGAGACAGAGAGAGACAGACAGAGGGAGAGACAGAGAGAGAGACAGAGGGAGAGACAGAGGGAGGGAGAGACAGAGAGAGACAGACAGAGGGAGAGACAGAGAGAGAGACAGACAGAGGGAGAGACAGAGAGAGACAGACAGAGGGAGCGACAGAGAGAGAGAGACAGAGAGAGAGACAGAGGGAGGGAGAGAAGAGUGGGACAGAGGGAGGGAGAGAAGGGUGGGGUGAGAGGAGGAAGAGAUGAGAGAGGGAUAAAGAAAGAGAGAGAGCUAAUCCACAGGAUGUUUAACUUGGGCAUGCUGACAGAGGACAAUAAAGAGAAAACAAAGAAACACCAGUAUGUCCUGCUUCCUGUUGGAGACAGAAGACUGAGGAGAGAAGGAAGAGAAACGGAGAAUAUUACAGAAAUAGGGGUUUAAUA
rnacentral:lncRNA from 1 species